rnacentral:lncRNA from 1 species
AUAUGUAAAAAAAUUAUUUCUCAAAUUUGUGUUGGCUUGUUGUCUAAUAGUCAGUUCAAUUUCUUUAGUCAUCUAACCAGUGUAUUGACUUGUUGUCCUUACUUUAUAGUCAAUUCAUAUCUAGUAUCAAUGAACUACAUCUGUUUUUUUACCUGAUCAUUCGUUAAGAAUACUUGAAAUUCUUUGGUACAAUUGCUCAUUCGAUAAAUACUUCGUCUAUAGUCAGAUACUGACUAUGUUCACCUAUGUAAUUCUGAGAUCUGUUUCAAGUCGUUCCAUUUUAUAAGGGAGAGUAGAAUAAAAAAGAAGAAAGCACCUUGAUUUAAGUACUUUUUUCAUUGGUUGAAGUGCUGCCAGAAUAAACUUGAAAUUCAAUUGUUUUCCAUAUUAGAGAAAGCGGUUGAUCUUUCUUGACUAUUCCGUGUUAUUUUAAAGUACCUGCACAUAUAGCCGUUAAGUAAUCCAUAUCAACAUCUCUGCCAGGAAUUAAAUCCGAAUACAUUGUGUCAAAGCUAAAUCCUUCCAUUUUGAAUAGAAAUUAAUAACCGAAGAAAUCCAUAUAUGCAAGUCUGUAUCUACCACAUACUAAGUAGUCACCAUGAAGAACAUUACCUUCAUUCAAGCAUAGUAGCAUAAUCCUCUUCUCUUGUCCGUAAUUAAACAUCCCACUACCCCAAUCAAGUAAUCUUUUCUUAGAAUCAUAUUUCAGCUCUUUACUCAAAACCUUGAUGACCUAUAGGCAAAAAAGUAGAUAGUGUUAACUUCUUUACUCAACAAAAUGCUCU